rnacentral:rRNA from 1 species
UGGGUAACCUGCCCUUAACUCUGGGAUAAGCCUGGGAAACUGGGUCUAAUACCGGAUAUGACUCCUCAUCGCAUGGUGGGGGGUGGAAAGCUUUUUGUGGUUUCGGAUGGACUCGCGGCCUAUCAGCUUGUUGGUGAGGUAAUGGCUCACCAAGGCGACGACGGGUAGCCGGCCUGAGAGGGUGACCGGCCACACUGGGACUGAGACACGGCCAGACUCCGUACGGGAGGCAG